rnacentral:rRNA from 1 species
CAGUAGCCGCGGUAAUACGGAGGGGGCUAGCGUUGUUCGGAAUUACUGGGCGUAAAGGGCUCGCAGGCGGUUUCUUAAGUCUGAUGUGAAAGCCCCCGGCUCAACCGGGGAGGGUCAUUGGAAACUGGGAAACUUGAGUGCAGAAGAGGAGAGUGGAAUUCCACGUGUAGCGGCGAAAUGCGUAGAGAUGUGGAGGAACACCAGUGGCGAAGGCGACUCUCUGGUCUGUAACUGACGCUGAGGAGCGAAGGCGUGGGGAGCAAACAGGAUUAGAUACCCGGGUAGUCCCUGUCUCUUAUAA